rnacentral:rRNA from 1 species
GACGAACGCUGGCGGCGUGCUUAACACAUGCAAGUCGAACGGAAAGGCCCUGCUUUUGUGGGGUGCUCGAGUGGCGAACGGGUGAGUAACACGUGAGUAACCUGCCCUUGACUUUGGGAUAACUUCAGGAAACUGGGGCUAAUACCGGAUAGGAGCUCCUGCUGCAUGGUGGGGGUUGGAAAGUUUCGGCGGUUGGGGAUGGACUCGCGGCUUAUCAGCUUGUUGGUGGGGUAGUGGCUUACCAAGGCUUUGACGGGUAGCCGGCCUGAGAGGGUGACCGGCCACAUUGGGACUGAGAUACGGCCCAGACUCCUACGGGAGGCAGCAGUGGGGAAUAUUGCACAAUGGGCGGAAGCCUGAUGCAGCAACGCAGCGUGCGGGAUGACGGCCUGCGGGUUGUAAACCGCUUUCGCCUGUGACGAAGCGUGAGUGACGGUAAUGGGUAAAGAAGCACCGGCUAACUACGUG